rnacentral:rRNA from 1 species
AUUGAACGCUGGCGGCAUGCCUUACACAUGCAAGUCGAACGGCAGCGCGGGAGCAAUCCUGGCGGCGAGUGGCGAACGGGUGAGUAAUAUAUCGGAACGUGCCCUAGAGUGGGGGAUAACUAGUCGAAAGAUUAGCUAAUACCGCAUACGAUCUACGGAUGAAAGUGGGGGAUCGCAAGACCUCAUGCUCGUGGAGCGGCCGAUAUCUGAUUAGCUAGUUGGUAGGGUAAAAGCCUACCAAGGCCACGAUCAGUAGCUGGUCUGAGAGGACGACCAGCCACACUAGGGCGGAGAAACGGCCCAGACUCCUACGGGAGGCAGCAGUGGGGAAUUUUGGACAAUGGGGGAAACCCUGAUCCAGCAAUGCCGCGUGUGUGAAGAAGGCCUUCGGGUUGUAAAGCACUUUUGUCCGGAACGAAACGGGCCGAGCUAAUAUCUUGGCCUAAUGACGGUACCGGAAGAAUAAGCACCGGCUAACUACGUGCCAGCAGCCGCGGUAA